GAUGAACGCUGGCGGCGUGCCUAAUACAUGCAAGUCGAGCGAACAGACGAGGAGCUUGCUCCUCUGACGUUAGCGGCGGACGGGUGAGUAACACGUGGAUAACCUACCUAUAAGACUGGAAUAACUUCGGGAAACCGGAGCUAAUACCGGAUAAUAUAUUGAACCGCAUGGUUCAAUAGUGAAAGACGGUUUUGCUGUCACUUAUAGAUGGAUCCGCGCCGCAUUAGCUAGUUGGUAAGGUAACGGCUUACCAAGGCAACGAUGCGUAGCCGACCUGAGAGGGUGAUCGGCCACACUGGAACUGAGACACGGUCCAGACUCCUACGGGAGGCAGCAGUAGGGAAUCUUCCGCAAUGGGCGAAAGACUGACGGAGCAACGCCGCGUGAGUGAUGAAGGUCUUCGGAUCGUAAAACUCUGUUAUUAGGGAAGAACAAAUGUGUAAGUAACUAUGCACGUCUUGACGGUACCUAAUCAGAAAGCCACGGCUAACUACGUG
rnacentral:rRNA from 1 species